rnacentral:rRNA from 1 species
AGUCGAGGGGUAUAGUUCUUCGGAGCUAGAGACCGGCGCACGGGUGCGUAACGCGUAUGCAAUCUACCUUUCACAGAGGGAUAGCCCAGAGAAAUUUGGAUUAAUACCUCAUAGUAUUAUAGAGUGGCAUCACUUUAUAAUUAAAGUCACAACGGUGAAAGAUGAGCAUGCGUCCCAUUAGCUAGUUGGUAAGGUAACGGCUUACCAAGGCUACGAUGGGUAGGGGUCCUGAGAGGGAGAUCCCCCACACUGGUACUGAGACACGGACCAGACUCCUACGGGAGGCAGCAGUGAGGAAUAUUGGACAAUGGGCGCAAGCCUGAUCCAGCCAUGCCGCGUGCAGGAUGACGGUCCUAUGGAUUGUAAACUGCUUUUGUACGAGAAGAAACACCUCUACGUGUAGAGAUUUGACGGUAUCGUAAGAAUAAGGAUCGGCUAACUCCGUGCCAGCAGCCGCGGUAAUACGGAGGAUCCAAGCGUUAUCCGGAAUCAUUGGGUUUAAAGGGUCCGUAGGCGGUUUAGUAAGUCAGUGGUGAAAGCCCAUCGCUCAACGGUGGAACGGCCAUUGAUACUGCUGAACUUGAAUUAUUAGGAAGUAACUAGAAUAUGUAGUGUAGCGGUGAAAUGCUUAGAGAUUACAUGGAAUACCAAUUGCGAAAGGCAGGUUACUACUAAUGGAUUGACGCUGAUGG